rnacentral:rRNA from 1 species
UAAUACGAAGGGAGCAAGCGUUGUUCGGAUUUACUGGGCGUAAAGGGUGUGUAGGCGGUUUUGCAAGUUGGAUGUGAAAGCCCUGGGCUUAACUCAGGAAUAGCAUUCAAGACUGCAUGACUAGAGUAUGGAAGAGGUUGGUGGAAUUCCUAGUGUAGAGGUGAAAUUCGUAGAUAUUAGGAAGAACACCCGUGGCGAAGGCGGCCAACUGGUCCAUAACUGACGCUGAGACACGAAAGCGUGGGGAGCAAACAGG